CUUGGCUACCAAUGUGGGGCUAUCUCCUCCAUGUCAUCAGGCCCAGCCGGCUGUCAAGGCUAAGGAGCUAUAUCCAUGAGUCACUUACUAACAAGAGGCAUCCUGCCUCAAGGGCAUGAGUCAUAACAGACCCCAGCUGACGAUGGUCAACUCCAAAGAUAUCAACAGGAAAUGUUGGGGAUGCCUCGUCUGUGCUCCUGCCCGAGACAGGACAGCCUGGGCCCCUUGGGCAGGGGUGCCUGUCUCUUGUUAUGAAGCCUGCACAUCCUCCAGUUCUUCACACCAGACUUCUGUCUGCUGCUUCGGACCCAAACAUACUGUUUGUCUAGCAGUCAUCUAGGAGCUGGAUCCACAGCCCCGACAUGCAGUCAGGAGCUGCAAGGAGCAGGAAACCCAUCAUCACUUGGAAGAGAUACAUCCGUGAACACAUGGUGAGAACAGGAGGAAGACUGUGAAACAAGAAAAUGAAUGAAAUUCCGAUCAUAGAUAUGUUAAAGAAGCUUUACUGCCUUGGGAAUAUGUUAAUAUCGGGGAUGGAGUUGAACUUUCCCUUGGGUCCCUGACAUUUCGCACAUGACGAAGAUAACCAACCAGCUGCUCCAGGUGUCCUGAACAGCACACCAAGCCAAAGUCAAGGUUCUCAGCCAUCCAAAACCUGUGUCCUCAAUUUUAAGACAGUAUGAUUGAUAAGAUGCAAAUACUUUCCUAAUGGCUUUUCAGACAGAAAUAAAGAAGAAGCCAAACGGCCCUGAAGGUGCCCAUGGAGAGCGAGGAACAUUGGUGUUAACUUGUGAGAAAGCAUGAGGCUCUGAAAGGCUUCUUUGCAGCCAGGCUUCCAACCACCAGCGGCUGAGGUGCAGCCAACCACUCUGCCAGCACAGCCUGCUUCAUCCAUCAGUCACAGGCCACACUUCCGCCCCCUCCCGACCCCUGUAGCUCCAGUUCCCAGCCCGAAUCAUGCCAUCACCAAGAGCAA